rnacentral:rRNA from 1 species
AGUGAACGCUGGCGGUAGGCCUAACACAUGCAAGUCGAACGGCAGCACAGUAAGAGCUUGCUCUUACGGGUGGCGAGUGGCGGACGGGUGAGGAAUAAAUCGGAAUCUACUUUUUCGGGGGGGAUAACGUAGGGAAACUUACGCUAAUACCUCAUACGUCCUACGGGUGAAAGCAGGGGAUCUUCGGACCUUGCGCGAUUGAAUGAGCCGAUGUCGGAUUAGCUAGUUGGCGGGGUAAAGGCCCACCAAGGCGACGAUCCGUAGCUGGUCUGAGAGGAUGAUCAGCCACACUGGAACUGAGACACGGUCCAGACUCCUACGGGAGGCAGCAGUGGGGAAUAUUGGACAAUGGGCGCAAGCCUGAUCCAGCCAUACCGCGUGGGUGAAGAAGGCCUUCGGGUUGUAAAGCCCUUUUGUUGGGAAAGAAAAGCAGCAGGUUAAUACCCCGCUGUUCUGACGGUACCCAAAGAAUAAGCACCGGCUAACUUCGUG